GUGCUGUAAAAGGCCAAAAUGAGCGCCUUAGACACGCUACGCCAAGCCUGGAGAAGGAGAAGGGAGCGACUUGAACCCUCAAGCUUCUGGCACCUUGCAUGAGGAAAAUAUAAGGUCCUAAGGGCUUCUGAACCCCAAGCAGGUCAGCCCAGAAUGGCUUCAGCCAACAUGCCCCAUGGAAGGGAAGACAUGGUACAAAACCAUUGUGUAAAGAACAAUCAGAUUAAUUAUAAUUGGCAUCUGGUCAAUCGCCUGGAGAAUCCCAUGGACAGAAGAGCCUGGCAGGCUGUACAGUUCAUGGGGUCACAAGAGUCGGACAUG